AGCCCAUGGUGAGGGCACCUUCGUAAUAAGUCCUUAUACAUCUCCCAUGCAUCAUAAGGAGUUUCUAGAUCCAUCUGCACAAAAAAAGAUAUAUCAUUCCUUAAUUU
rfam:Gossypium hirsutum cultivar TM-1 chromosome 16, whole genome shotgun sequence